CUUCAUCCGAUUGAAGUAGACUCAAGAGUAAGGGGUCUGUGUUGGAGAAAAUUGUGUAUGGGCCGAAUUUAUGAAAAUGCCCAGAGCCCAAAAUGACUGUGUCCAGCGGGCUCAUUAAUAGGGAUCUCCAACAAUCCAAAGUUGGCCACCACAUUCUCUGAUGAUUCAAGAUCAGCAACUACUUUCAUCAAUUAGUCCUUCGAGGCCAUCUGACUAGAGCCUUGCUCAUAGACAAUGACUUGGCAAUCCCUGUACAUCAUCAUCGAUGGCUCCUUAUCAGCCGACCACUCAUGCAUUACGAA
rnacentral:lncRNA from 1 species